GGUCGAAUGGUGUAGUUGGUUAUCACGUCAGUCCAACACACUGAAGGCCCACGGGGUCGAGCCCGUGUUCGGUCA